rnacentral:rRNA from 1 species
CCUACGGGAGGCAGCAGUGAGGAAUAUUGGUCAAUGGACGAGAGUCUGAACCAGCCAAGUAGCGUGAAGGAUGACUGCCCUAUGGGUUGUAAACUUCUUUUAUAAAGGAAUAAAACGAGGCACGUGUGCCUUUUUGCAUGUACGUUAUGAAUAAGGAUCGGCUAACUCAGUGCCAGCAGCCGCGGUAAGACGGAGGAUCCGAGCGUUGUCCGGAUUUAUUGGGUUGAAAGGGAGCGUAGAUGGGUUGUUAAAUCAGUUGUGAAAGUUUGCGGCUCAACCGUAAGAUUGCAAUUGUUACUGGCAUUCUUGAGUUCAGUUGAGGUAGGCGGAAUUCGUGGUGUAGCGGUGAAAUGCGUAGAUAUCACGAAGAAUCCCGAUUGCGAAGGCAGCUUACUAAACUGUGACUGACAUUGAUGCUCGAAAGUGUGGGUAUCAAACAGGAUUAGAUACCCUUGUAGUC